GGGCGUCGAACGUAAGAUGACUGUAGGUGAAAGACUACAUCUCUUCGGAGCAUUUACGAGGUGCUGCAUGGUUGUCGUCAGCUCGUGCCGUGAGGUGUCGGGUUAAGUCCCAUAACGAGCGCAACCCCUACCUUAGUUGCCAUCAGGUAAUGCUGGGGACUCUAAAGGAACUGCCUACGCAAGUAGUGAGGAAGGCGGGGAUGACGUCAAAUCAGCACGGCCCUUACGUCCAGGGCUACACACGUGCUACAAUGGCCGAUACAGAGGGCAGCUACCUGGUGACAGGAUGCAAAUCUCCAAAGUCGGUCUCAGUUCGGAUCGGAGUCUGCAACCCGACUCCGUGAAGUUGGAUUCGCUAGUAAUCGCGCAUCAGCCAUGGCGCGGUGAAUACGUUCCCGGGCCUU
rnacentral:rRNA from 1 species